GCGUUGUCCGGAUUUACUGGGCGUAAAGAGCGCGCAGGCGGUUGAUUAAGUCGAAUGUGAAAGCCCCCGGCUCAACUGGGGAGGGUCAUUCGAUACUGAUCAACUUGAAGGCUGUAGAGGGUAGUGGAAUUCCCGGUGUAGUGGUGAAAUGCGUAGAUAUCGGGAGGAACACCAGUGGCGAAGGCGACUACCUGGCCUGUUCUUGACGCUGAGGCGCGAAAGCUGG
rnacentral:rRNA from 1 species